UACGUAGGGUGCAAGCGUUAAUCGGAAUUACUGGGCGUAAAGCGUGCGCAGGCGGUUGUGCAAGACAGAUGUGAAAUGCCCGGGCUUAACCUGGGAACUGCAUUUGUGACUGCAUGGCUAGAGUUUGGCAGAGGGGGGGUAGAAUUCCACGUGUAGCAGUGAAAUGCGUAGAUAUGUGGAGGAACACCGAUGGCGAAGGCAGCCCCCCUGGGUCGAAGACUGACGCUCAUGCACGAAAGCGUGGGGAGCAAACAGG
rnacentral:rRNA from 1 species